UACGGGGGGAGCAAGCGUUGUUCGGAUUUACUGGGCGUAAAGGGCGCGUAGGCGGUCAGCACAAGUCAGUCGUGAAAUCUCCGGGCUUAACCCGGAAAGGUCAACUGAUACUGUGCGACUAGAGUGCGGAAGGGGCAACUGGAAUUCUCGGUGUAGCGGUGAAAUGCGUAGAUAUCGAGAGGAACACCUGCGGCGAAGGCGGGUUGCUGGGCCGACACUGACGCUGAUGCGCGAAAGCCAGGGGAGCGAACGGG
rnacentral:rRNA from 1 species